CCUACGGGGAGCAGCAGUGAGGAAUAUUGGUCAAUGGACGAGAGUCUGAACCAGCCAAGUAGCGUGAAGGAUGACUGCCCUAUGGGUUGUAAACUUCUUUUAUAUGGGAAUAAAACGUUCCACGUGUGGGAUUUUGUAUGUACCAUAUGAAUAAGGAUCGGCUAACUCAGUGCCAGCAGCCGCGGUAAUACGGAGGAUCCGAGCGUUAUCCGGAUUUAUUGGGUUUAAAGGGAGCGUAGGUGGAUUGUUAAGUCAGUUGUGAAAGUUUGCGGCUCAACCGUAAAAUUGCAGUUGAAACUGGCAGUCUUGAGUACAGUAGAGGUGGGCGGAAUUCGUGGUGUAGCGGUGAAAUGCUUAGAUAUCACGAAGAACUCCGAUUGCGAAGGCAGUUCACUGGACUGCAACUGACACUGAGGCUCGAAAGUGUGGGUAUCAAACAGGAUUAGAUACCCCGGUAGUC
rnacentral:rRNA from 1 species